rnacentral:rRNA from 1 species
AGAGUUUGAUCCUGGCUCAGAACGAACGCUGGCGGCAUGCCUAACACAUGCAAUGUCGAACGCCUGUAGCAUACAGGAGUGGCAGACGGGUGCAUAACACGUGGGAACCUACCCUUGGGUUCGGAAUAACCGCGGGAAACUGCGGCUAAUACCGGAUACGUCCUCUGGGAGAAAGAUUUAUCGCCCUUGGAGGGGCCCGCGUCGGAUUAGCUAGUUGGUGAGGUAACGGCUCACCAAGGCGACGAUCCGUAGCUGAUCUGAGAGGAUGAUCAGCCACACUGGAACUGAGACACGGUCCAGACUCCUACGGGAGGCAGCAGUGGGGAAUCUUGCGCAAUGGGCGAAAGCCUGACGCAGCGACGCCGCGUGAGUGAUGAAGGCCUUCGGGUUGUAAAGCUCUGUGGGGAGAGAAGAAUAAGUCGUGGCUAACAUCCACGAUGAUGACGGUAUCUCCUUAGCAAGCACCGGCUAACUCUGUGCCAGCAGCCGCGGUAAGACAGAGGGUGCAAACGUUGUUCGGAAUUACUGGGCGUAAAGCGUGUGUAGGCGGUGAAGUAAGUCAGGUGUGAAAUCCCGGAGCUCAACUUCGGAAGUGCACUUGAUACUGCUUCGCUUGAGUACUGGAGAGGUUGGUGGAAUUCUCGGUGUAGAGGUGAAAUUCGUAGAUAUCGAGAGGAACAUCGGUGGCGAAGGCGGCCAACUGGACAGAUACUGACGCUGAGACACGAAAGCGCGGGGAGCAAACAGGAUUAGAUACCCUGGUAGUCCGCGCCGUAAACCAUGAGUGCUAAGUGUCACGGGCUUUGACUCCUGUGGUGCCGUAGCCAACGCAUUAAGCACUCCGCCUGGGAAGUACGGCCGCAAGGCUAAAACUCAAAGGAAUUGACGG